rnacentral:tRNA from 1 species
GCCUAAAUAGUUUAAUAAGCAAAACAACUGACUUGUAAUCAGUAGAUGUCCGUGCAAAUCGGAUUUUGAGCUCCA